GGACAAUGGGCGCAAGCCUGAUCCAGCAAUGCCGCGUGGGUGAAGAAGGUCUUCGGAUCGUAAAGCCCUUUCGACGGGGACGAUGAUGACGGUACCCGUAGAAGAAGCCCCGGCUAACUUCGUGCCAGCAGCCGCGGUAAUACGAAGGGGGCUAGCGUUGCUCGGAAUUACUGGGCGUAAAGGGCGCGUAGGCGGCUCUGUUAGUCAGGCGUGAAAUUCCCGGGCUUAACCUGGGGACUGCGCUUGAUACUGCGGAGCUUGAGGGUGGAAGAGGGUCGUGGAAUUCCCAGUGUAGAGGUGAAAUUCGUAGAUAUUGGGAAGAACACCGGUGGCGAAGGCGGCGACCUGGUCCAUUACUGACGCUGAGGCGCGACAGCGUGGGGAGCAAACAGGAUUAGAUACCCUGGUAGUCCACGCCGUAAACGAUGUGCGCUGGAUGUUGGGUGACCUAGUCACUCAGUGUCGUAGCCAACGCGGUAAGCGCACCGCCUGGGGAGUACGGCC
rnacentral:rRNA from 1 species